GGCCCGAUGGUUUAGUGGUAUAAUUCUCGCUUAGGGUUUUUCUAAGCAUAUUUGCGAGAGGUCCCGGGUUCAAUUCCCGGUUGGGCCC